rnacentral:rRNA from 1 species
CCAAUAGCGUAUAUUAAAGUUGCUGCAGUUAAAAAGCUCGUAGUUGAAUUUCGGGGUCAAUAUGUUGGUCGUGCCUUGGUACGUACUAGCUUAUUGAUUUCUCCUUUCUGACGAACCAUGAUGUCAUUAAUUUGGUGUCAUGGGGAAUCAGGACUGUUACUUUGAAAAAAUUAGAGUGUUUAAAGCAGGCUCGCGCUUGAAUACAUUAGCAUGGAAUAAUGAAAUAGGACGUUCGAUCCUAUUUUGUUGGUUUCUAGGAUUGACGUAAUGAUUAAUAGGGAUAGUUGGGGGCAUUAGUAUUCAAUUGUCAGAGGUGAAAUUCUUGGAUUUAUUGAAGACUAACUACUGCGAAAGCAUUUGCCAAGGAUGUUUUCAUCAAUCAAGAACGAAAGUUAGGGGAUCGAAGACGAUCAGAUACCGUCGUAGUCUUAACCAUAAACUAUGC